rnacentral:rRNA from 1 species
AACGAACGCUGGCGGCAGGCUUAACACAUGCAAGUCGAGCGCCCCGCAAGGGGAGCGGCAGACGGGUGAGUAACGCGUGGGAACAUACCCUUUAGUACGGAAUAGCCUCGGGAAACUGGGAUUAAUACCGUAUACGCCUACGGGGAAAGAUUAUCGCUAAGGAUUGGCCCGCGUUGGAUUAGCUAGUUGGUGAGGUAAUGGCUCACCAAGGCGACGAUCUAUAGCUGGUCUGAGAGGAUGAUCAGCCACACUGGGACUGAGACACGGCCCAGACUCCUACGGGAGGCAGCAGUGGGGAAUAUUGCGCAAUGGGCGAAAGCCUGACGCAGCCACGCCGCGUGAGUGAUGAAGGCCCCAGGGUCGUAAAGCUCUGUCGGGGGGGAAGAAGUUCUGACGGUACCCCCCAAGAAAGCACCGGCUAACUCCGUG